rnacentral:rRNA from 1 species
CCCUUAGAUGUCCGGGGCCGCACGCGCGCUACACUGAAGGAAUCAGCGUGGCUCUGUCCCUGGUCCGAAAGGAUUGGGAAACCCGUUGAAUCUCCUUCGUGAUAGGGAUUGGGGCUUGGAACUGUUCCCCAUGAACGAGGAAUUCCCAGUAAGCGCGAGUCAUAAGCUCGCGUUGAUUACGUCCCUGCCCUUUGUACACACCGCCCGUCGCACCUACCGAUUGAAUGGUCCGGUGAAGCCUCCGGAUUGCACAGGCCCCGUGUCUGGCGCGAGAAGUUGGCUAAACCUUACCAUUUAGAGGAAGGUGAAGUCGUAACA